UCAUGACAUAUGAUUACAAUGUUUUGUAUUUGACAUGUCUUUUGUAUUGUUAAUGAUACCCCAAUAUUUUAGCAGGAAUUUUAGAAAUCACCCGAAAGUAGAGCUUACAAUAUAUCUAUAUAUAUAAUUACAAGUUAAUGUUUUAUCAAAGAGCUGUUAAGUAAUCUGUGUUGGAGUACACUUGAUAAAAGAAGAAGCCAAUAGAAAUACAGUAACUGAAAUUACAAAAAUGAUGACAUGGAAUGAAAAGCAGCAUGGUAAGCAUCUAAACAUUAACAGAGACAUCUAUAUUCCAUGAUGUCAAUUAUCACAAAACAGCCUACAGAAUUUCAUGAUCAGCCAUGCACUAAUUCAUCAACUACCAUCCAUAACUCACCUCCAGUACAGGAAGAACUUGAGAAAAAGGUCUUAAAUACUUCAAACUAUACACCAUACUCAAGUUUCCACAAUGGCAAGAGCAUAUGUGAAAGUUUUCAAAAAGAUGAUGAUAAGGUAGGUGAACUUUAUCAGGAAGACAAGGAGGUAUGUGAAAGUUAUAACAAAGAAGAGAGCAUAGGUACAUCUUACCACAAAGACAAGAACAUAUUUGAUUGCUAUUACACAAAGGUGGAAACAUCUAAAAGUCAACACGAAAAUGAGAACUUACAUGAAUCAACAAGAACUUUGAACACAACAGAGAAUGUGCAAGUUUCUGGACAAGAUAAAACAUCUUCUUUAAAUCAUACUUCGUAUUCAAGUCAUUCUAAAAUAGGCUAUGAUAACCACCCUGUACUAGCUACAGCAGAAAAUGGAACAAGCUUGCUUAAAGAUGACAACCAACCAAAAACAGCAGAUGUGAACACUGAAGUAAAUUUGCUGUUUUCAAAACAAGAAACCACAAUCCAAAACAGUUGCCCUAGUCCUUUAUCUAGUUUUGGUAAAAUACAGAACAGUGUUGAUAAUGCAUGUGAAAAACAGUUUGAUACUGCUUUAAGUGAGGCAGGUGCUUUGUCAAAGGGUAAAGAAACAAUAAAUGGUGAAUUUACAAGUUUAAAACCUUCAGAACUUACCUCACUGAUAUCAAGUCAGAGGGAAAGAAUCCUUAAGAAAAGAAGAGAGGACAGGUUGUCUGAGGAAAAGACAACUGAUACAAAACCUAUGCAUGAAAAAAGAGAAAGGGAAAAUAUGUCUUUUGAAUACAAAGAUAUUUCAGAAAACAAAAAGAAACCAUCAGUUUCAUCCGAAUCAAAAAGUGCUUCAAAAGAAGAGAAAAGUAAACACAAAAAGAAGAAAAAGUUAGUAGAUCAUGGUGGGUUUAAUGACAUAUUUAGCGAACCAUUAAAUGUGAAGGAUUUUUAUUCUAUUGGGUCUAAAAAGAGGGAAAGAAAAUUGCCAAGUAAGUUCAUUUAUUUAUCGAAAAUGGAGAAAUUCUUGAGCUGUAGUCCAAAGAGUAAGCAUAAAAAGAAAUAUAAACCCAGAUGUAAACAGUCAGAAGAAUUGUCGAAAAAAAUUAAAGUGGAAGCAGAUGAGAAUGUUAGAGACAUGAGAAAUGAAACUGAGGAAAGAAAAGAUAUUAAUAAAAUCAAAAUUUUUACAAUAAAGGCUGAAAACAAACAGCAAAUAAAUACGAAGAAACAGAAUAAAAACAAAGACUCACACUUCAGUUCCUCAGGAAAGAACACUCCAUCAAAAUCAUUUAUUUCAUUCAUUUCACCUGAAUCAUCAAAAAAAUCACAACUACUCAGGGAUAGUAAAUUUCAGCAGCAUUGCCUUAGAAGACACUAUAGACUUAAGUCAUCUAAUUGGAACUGUAGUUCAAGAAGUGCCCUUUGGCAGCUUAGAAGAAAAUAUAAUUCUAUCAACCUGUUGUUUGAAAGGGAACCAAUUGUUUGCUUAACGAGGCUUAAACUUGAGGACACUUGUUUGACACCAGACAUCUCUGCUGGAGAAACUGAAGGUGCAAGUGACUGCAGAAGUGGACUGGUAACAGGGAAUAGUGUAGUCAAAUCAGAAACUGUAACUUUCACUGACAAGACUGAAAUUAAAAGACCCAUGCAAGAUUCGUUGAAGGUUUCUAUCAAGUUUGAACAAGAUAGUGAGGUGUAUAAUCAGGUUUUCAAUGCAAGACAGAAGGAAGUUAAAACUGAAACAAAGGAUUUAGUUGAUCCUCGUGUCAUGUCUUUAUCAAAAACGUUACAAAGUACAAAUAAUGGGAAAGUUGGGCUUGAGAAAAUUUUCAAAAACUGUUAUAGUAAACCAGGGAAAAGCAAGAAAAAGGAAAAUUCAAAGUCGCAUGGUAGGUCUGUUAAAAAGAAAGUGAAACCUGAUUGGUCUAAAUGGAAAGAGAAGUUGAAGGAGGCAAGCAAUAAAAUGGUGGAAAGAAGGAAAGGAGGUCUAGUUGUAGAGAAGAACAUUAACAGAUUCCCUAGUGCAUAUGUAAAUAUCAGUCCACCAAGUAUAUUGAAUUUUAGAAUUCCAUUGAAAUCCAACAACAAAGGAAAAAAUGAGGAGAAUACCUCACCAGAUGCAAAGGGUAAAGAAAAUGCAGCGAAUACUGAAAUUAUUCCAAGUGAUAUUCCUAGAAGUGAGUGCUUGGAGCUUAAUAAAAAUACAGAUACUGAGAUUGAAGAUGAAUCAAAAGUGUUGAAAGAAAUAAAUGAAGAGUUGACACUUGAAGAAUAUGAGACAGAUAGAUUCAUAACUUAUUCAAUAAAUGGUUACUCUAUUGAAAUAAGUAGAGAUUCACCAAUAGACACAAAAAUGAAUGAGGAUAAAAGCUCUGCUGAGAAUGAAUGCUUCGAUGAGGAUGAAAUGAAUAAAAUUUUAUAUGGAGAUAACUUUGAUGAUGUUAGGUUGGAUUGCCAAACUAGAAAUAACCAGGAGUAUUUUAAUGAAACAGAUGCAGGCCUAACGGUGACAAGUGAUAUUAUUCCAAACUUAUAUGCUCAGGAUGAAAAUAUCUUUAGAGAAAGUGGUGAUUUUUCAGAUGAAAUAGACAAGUCACCACCAGUGCUAGAAAAAUCAUCACUAAGUGCUGAAAAUAGUGAUAUUGAAAGUGAAAAUUUCUACAUUGUUCAUGAAAAUAAAGACAAACAAGCCUCUGAGUACUUAGAAGCAGAAUCUGAACAACAGAAAGUGACUGAUGAAAUCCGAAAAGAUAAUGUUCAUAGUGAUGAAGCUGAAAGUAAGACAAUAGUUGUAACAAAAGCAGAUUUGAUAAGUGCUAACACAAAUAAUGAAGAAGUUGAAAUUAGCUGUGAUGGUGAAGGUUAUGGUGAUGUUAAUCAUGACAUAACUGCAAACAAAACUUUAACUUCAGAUGAAUUCAGUGAAGAGGAUUUAUUAAAAAGAAAAGAUAUUAAAAAAAUACCAGAUACCGAUGAAGAUGAAUGCUGUGAUCCGUCUCCAUUUGUCAUUGAAAAUGUGUGUUCCUUAAGUGAAACGCAGCUUGUUUCAGAACAUUCUCGGGAGCAAGAGGCUGAUUUAAAAAUUGAUGUCAGUGUAAAUGAAAAUGAGCAGAACUGCACUUGUUGGAAAGAUAAUGGUGAAAUAGAUAAGUCAAGAAAAGAUCCGGAAGGGUCCCUUGAACAAGAGGAAUUUAGCAAGCAGGACAGCAUGGAUAAUGAAAUUUCUGAGACAGUUACUUUUGAAGAAAAUACAGGCUUGGUGGUACAGGAAAAAGUAAGCAAGGAACAUAGUCCAAAGGCAAUUGGAUUAGUUUCUGCAAAUGAGGCCGAUACUUGCAUAGCAAGUCAAGGGAGCUCAUACACUAAAUGUGAUAAAAUGAAUUUAAAAUUACAAGAUUUGAGUAAGACAAACAUUUCUUUAAGUAAUAAGACAGAUGAAUUGCCACAAGCAAAUAAAAGUGAAAACUUGUUUGAAACUAAUUCAGAUGAAGAUGUUGUUGAUCCAAAUGAUUUUGAUAGAACUGAGGGUAACAAUAUGGUUAAAAAUGAAAUAAGGUUUGAAUCAAAUACUGAUACCUUGAUUAACAAAAUAGAAAGUAAGAAAUAUGAAAAGAGUGCUGCUGCAGUAAUGGAGGAUCUUGAAAAAAUGUGGAAAGAAAUGAAAUCAAAAUCUGAUGGUGAAAAUAUUUCUUUAAAACACAUUUCUGUAGAUGACAAGGGUGAUAAUAGUGAUGAUGGUGUGAAUUGUAUAAAUGGAAAAUUGUCCGAGGACUCGGCUGACAUAGAAAAGUGUUAUGAUGGAGAACAAAGUAUUUUUGAAACUAUUACAGAUGUUCCUAAUCCUCAAAAAGAGAAAAAGAGUUUCAUAAAAGAUACUGAGACAUGCAAAACUGAAGACAUAGACUGUGAUUUGAAAGAGACAGCAAUAACUGAUGAUAAAGGUUACAACAAAAUAUAUGCUCACAGCGAUCUGAGUAUUGAGACAACUAUGAAAUCAAGUACUUUAGAUAUGAAAGUUAAAAAUACCAAGGAGACAGAUCAAAACAUUUUUUCAAACCUCUCUGAUUUUCAUUAUGAAAAAAGUAAUGAGCAAUCUUGUAGUUUUGAUGCUAUGAGCAAUACUGAAAUGUCUGAUAGUUCUGAAGAUACCGAUGAGGAGGCUGAGAAGGAAAGCAUAUAUAAAAAGUUUGGGGAGACAUAUGCUUCAGAAGGGGAAAGUGAAAUGGUGGACAACAGAAAAAUGGAAGAUGGGAGACGGAAAAAGAGAAAGAUUUCCAAAGAUAAUUAUUCCAGCAGUGAGAAGGCACAAUCCUCUUCAGAUGACAAUAUGGAGCAGAACGAAGAACGUAUUAUGUGUGAUUUUCCGAACCAUAACUGGCUUUUCAACAAGUACAACAUCAGCGAUGUUAGGGUGGAGAAGGAAAUUGUUAAGGAUGUAAAAAGUAAAAAACAGAAAAAGGAUGACAAAGAUACAAUAAAACCAUCUGAAGUAAAAUCUAGACGGAAGUCUUCCAGCUCAACAGCAAAUAUUUUACCAACCCAAAGAAAACUAUCUACCAACAAGAGCCACCAUUGCCCAGAAAGUCAAAUGUUACAAAAAGCAGAUAAAAGCAUCAAAGGCAAUACCAGCCCGGAACACAAAAGUAUUAAAAUAAAAUGGAAUAAAACCAAGAAACGGAGUUCUUUAAGUGACAGUUCUAUCAUAGGUGAGAAAAUUAACAUUUUAGCUGAAAAGGAUGAUUACUUGCCUUGUGAUAAAACCAGUUUGAGCUCAAAAUACUUUGGUGGAUUAGACUGUGAUACCUUGAGUCUAACUAACUUGCAAGAAACGGCAAAUAAUGAUUAUGCCGUUUUAAAGAAAAACGAAUAUAACAAAAGCGCAUUAAUGUCCCCUAACCAUAAUGAUAUUUGCAAAACAGCUGCUAAUCUAUUGACUAAAACAAAACAGAUGGACAUAAAUAUGGAUUUUCUUAAAACUGUCAGUGGUGACAAAAGUUUGAAUUCUGAUAGAGUGGAUGACGUUUAUUUGAAAAGCGCACAAAAAUCAAAAAUACCUGCAGAUAUAGCUUCUGGUAGAUUAAAUGACUCGAUAUUCAUAGACAAGGCUAGGGAGGAAAUAAAAGACUCUGAAAGUGUAGGAAGAAUGUUAUUCGGAGAUGUUACCGAUGAUGAUGACGAUGAUGAAGAAAAAUUAGAAAUUGAUGAAACUGCUUGUACCGAAGAUGUUUCAAGUGAAGACAAAGUUAUCAUGCUAAACCUUCAGCACACUGAUUCAGAUGAUCAAAUAUCAAAGUUUGAAGAAAGCUCAAAGAAGUCUGUUUUGGUAAGAUCACCUGGUGAAGUUAAUGAGACAGAGACAGAUACUCUGAAGCUGACUGUUGAAGAAACACUAGUAGCUGAACCAUCCACAACCAGUUCAAUUGUAGUUAGUAAACCAGACAAAAGACUUGCUACUGAAGUAACUGCACUGAUAUCUGAAGUGAAAAGUGCUGAUGCAGUAACAGUGAAGAAUACUGUAACAAACCGGUUUGAGGCUGGAGUCCUUGACGGCUGUGCAGUGAAAUCAGAGGCUGGCAGUAUUAGUUUUAGACCACGCACGAAGCCACCCGUGCAGUUGGUGCAUCCUCAGGUCCAUAAACCUCCUGCCGGGAAGAUCAAAGUGGAGUCAGUCGUCACAUCAGAGAUUCCAACCAAUGUCUCAGUUCAUACAGGAGAAAAUAAAGAGGAAUCUGCCACUACAUGUAUUACGACAACAAAUGUUGUCAACAGUCCAGUUCAGGCAGAUGCAGGAUUAAUUUCAACAUUGGCUCAAAUUAGUCCAGUUCUUGACACAACAGUAACCUCCACAGCUAGUGGCCUGCUUUCUACAGCAUUAGUAAAUUCAGGAACACCUCAAGCGCCUGUGACAGUUUUACCUACAUUGGCACAAAUUUCCAAUGGAGGUCUCACUGUAACAACUACAUCUCCAUCUAGUUUUGGAAAUGGAAUGGUUAUUCCCAUACAACCUUUUGUACAAAAUGUUCCUAAUGCAUUACAACAGGGAUAUGUUCAGAGUAUUCCACAGCUUCAGCCAAGUCUUGUUCAGAUUCAGUCCCAGAAUAUUGAUCCAUUAUUUCAGCAGUCCUCACCUGUACAUAUCCAAAACCAGCUGAUUCCAGUAACCAUUUAUCAAGCUGGAAACCAAACUUUGAUCUCAAAUUAUACUUACACAAAUGCAGGCUCGCAACUUAGGGUAUCUAGUCAAUCUGCUAAUGUUAUUCAAGCACAACCUGUAAAUUUCAACAUGAAUCAAACACAGCUGAAUACCAGUUCAGUAAGAAUGCCACUUUGCCGACCAGUGAAUUCAGGACCUCCACCACUGCUUAUUUUACCAAAACCUUCCAAUUUGUCCUCAUUAAACGAGCAGUGUAAACAGUCACAGUACCUGAAAAAAGAAAUUUCAUCCUUGAAAAAUCAAAAGCAAAAGUGUGAGCCAUCAAAGGUUAAAAACAACUCUUCAGGGAAAAAUCAUUGUCAGACGUUCAAACAGAAAACAAAACAAUUUUCUUCAAAUGGAGAGUCAUGUGACAGUAUUUCAGAAUCAGUACAUAGACCUCCUAGUGAUUCAGAGAAAAUGCUUUUUGAUGGUACAGGAAAUGUUGAAGAAGAGGUUGAUGAUGAAAUUAAAAAGCAAAUGGAAGAAUUAGACAGAGAAAUUAAGCAAAAGGAACAAGAGCAAGAAGAAAUGAGGAGAAAAAAGCUUGAACUAUUGGAAAAAAUGAAACAAGCUAAAAGUAUUAUUAAAAAGGAAACAGAAGCUGAAAUGACUAGUAAAGACAAGUGUGAAAUAGACAAAGGUGAUAAAGAAAAACCUGAUGAAGAUAGAAAAGAAAUUUCUGAAUCUGCUGAAGAUGCAAGUGAAGUAGUUGAGACAGGACUGCAGAAAACUCCAACUGAUACAGAAGAAGCUUAUAAGGAGAGGAAAAGAUCUUGCAAAGAUAUGGUGUUAUCAGAAGUUAUUGAAGAGGAAAAUGAUGAUGUUUUUGAUUCUGACGCUCCCAUUGAUCUUUCAUCUGCUUUGAAAUCUAGCCAAGUUAAUGAUUUUUCAAAGGCAAAUUUGUCAGUAACUGUUUCUAACGGUAUUAUCUCAAUUAAAGAAAAUAACAACAUUGAAUCUUCUUUAGUUCAUUCUAGUGGAAAUUUAGAAACAGAAAAUGAAGGUGGUGAAAGUGAAUUUGAUUGUAUGGAUGAUGAUAACUCAGUGCUAAAUGAUAAUUAUCCCACAGUUAAAUGUGAUGGAAUAAAUUAUAUAGAAGACAUAGGUUUGGUAAAUCCAUUUACUGGUGAAUAUGAAAUCAAUGAGGAUGUGGAAGGUGUUGAAUAUCUGGAUCUCUCAACUAAACCUGAUGAAUGUUCAAAUGAUCAUGAUCGUAAAGAUAUUGAAGAUAGUGGUAAUGGUAAAGAUAUGGAAAGUGCUGUAUCUAAAGAUAGAAAUGAGGACACAAAUAUAGAUAGUAACUUAAAAGUGCAGACAGAUAAGCAAGAUGUGACUGAGAAGGUUGAAGAAGAAUCUGCUGAAGAAAACUCUUCUAUAUCUAGUGAGAAACCAGCAACAAAAAAAUCACCUAUCUCUAUAAGUAUUAUUAAUCCUGUCUCAUCUGAAACAGAUACAAUCAAUCAACCUUUAAUCGUUUCUUUACCCAGUUCCAUGACAUCUGUUUCUGUUACAUCAUCCAGUAUUCCAACCAUGUCAUGUUCAGUUGCACAAUUUUCAUCUGUUGCAGAAUCAGAAUUUUCUAAAUCUGCUGAUGCAGCUCCUGCAAUUACAACUGAUUCAAUUCUUUCAGCACAACAUUGUGAUAUUAAUGUUGGUAUAUCUGAAGAAAGUUUUGAGACUAAUAAUUGUGAGACUGAUGAUGUACCACUGAAUUUGGAAAAAGUAAAACCCACUACUAGUCUUGUUACAUCAGGAGUUCAUGAUGUUUCAGAUGUGUUGACUAAAGCAAAUACUGAUAAUACUCCAAAUACACAUAUAGAUACAAACACUCAAAGUAUGACUCAGUCUCCCACAAAUUUGAGAGAGAGAAUCACUGAAAGUGAAGUUACAAAUUUUAAGCCACAGACAUCAGAUCAGAGCUGUAACAGAUUUCCAAGAAAAGACAUGAAUUUGGGGAGUGUUCAAGAAAAUCAAACACAUGCUGCAGAUAAACAGGUGCCUAGUUUACCAGUUGCUGCAGAUAAAUCAUUACUUCAGAUGCAGUUGUCUUCACCAAAAAGACAUUCCAGUUUACAAAAAGUGAUGCGUUGGCAGGACAAACAAGUUUUAGCACAAGGCAUAGAUGGAACUGUUAAUUUGGUUGAUGCCAAUCAGCAGAUAGUUAAUAAACAAAACUACAAAAUGAAUUCUAGUACACGUAAUUCUAGAGAAAUGUUAAAGCGAAGAGUAAGACAAAAGUACAUGGAAUUGAAGCCUGCUCAUUACAGGUCACCACCGAGAAAAGUUCAGAGAGGGGAAAAACAACAACCAGCACAUAACCAGAAACCUACAUCUCGUGAAACAAUGAAAAAGAUGUGUAAAACUCCAUUCAUACAUCCCCAUGUAGUACAUAAGACAUCCCCCUACAUCUGUAGAAAACAUCCUAUCUUUCUUAGCCCAAAGGAGGUAGAGAAACCAUUUCCAAGACUAUGGGAAAAGCGGCCUCCAAAGUCUGCUCAUAGUAAAAGACCAUUUGGAAUUGCAGGGCAUUUAAUUGUGCAAUCAUCAAGGAAGUACAGAAAAAGAGCAGUAUCUGGAGAGCUAGCCUCACCACCCAGGUUUUACAGCCUUCCAAAUACACCAACAGCAACUAGUGCUACACCACCGAGGGCAACAUCUGCUGAUUUUCAUAGUAGUUAUAGUCCAUUACAAUCGCCUACUGAAGUACAAGGACCUUCAAACACGUCAACAACUUCUGCUUCACCUAAUAAAACUGGGGAUCACCAUGGAGCACAGGUUGGAUUACCUUCUCCUAUAAGAGCCCAUUGCAGACCAAAAUCAAUGAUGACAUGUAACCAGUUUUAUGAAACCAGUGUUUUAAGACCUCCAGCACUAUUGAGAAAUCCAAAGGCCAAGGGUGAAUCACCAGGGAAUGAUGUUAUUGAAGUAAUUGAUCUCACAGCUGAUAUACCUCCAACCACAAGAUCAGAUUCUGCUCCAAAGUCAACAGAAAGUCCUAGAAGCAAAGAAAGGGCAAUACAAAAAGAACUAAGCCAUGCAGUGUCUAAAAGACAGAAGUUAGACAAUACUGAAGCAUCAUCUAAUGAAAGAGGAAACUGUUCUAGUCAAAAUUCAGCACUGAGACAGCAACAGCUUCUGAGCCAGAUUGUUGCAAGACAACGGCUGAUGCCACCUCCGCCGUAUACUGGCCGCCAGAGAAUGCCAGUACUGGUUCAAGUACCUAGACAGCCUACCUUAGAGCAUCACCAGAGGAUGCCCUAUAACAGAAGAGUGGAGCCUCAAUUGAAUGACAAUCAAAGACAUAUAGCUCAAAACAUGGUACAGCCAGACAUGCAAAGGUUUCAGAAACCUUCAGAUUUGAUGCAAGUAAAUGACUCCCAGAUUCGACCACAGAUGUACCCUUCUCAGUAUAUGGGACCUGCUCAAGACACCAGAACAUAUGGAGGAAGAGUUUCUCAGACUGGUGUUCAUACCCAGGACUACAGUUCUGGAAAUGACCAGUUGAUACAAAACCAAGAUGUAGGUCCACUGAGAAGGGUACCACAACAAAUGAUGUACCCUGCUGGAGGCACCAUGCAGACUGCCAAUAGUGCUAUGACUGGUUAUGUAGGUAAUCCUAGAAUGCAGCAUCCAGGCAGUAACCCUGCAAACAGUAUGCCUCAACAACAAGUUUAUCCGAUCAGAAGCCAGAAUAUGCCCUAUACAACAACACAGAAUCAAACUCAAAUACAUCAGCUGUUACAGCAACCACAAACAAGCUCCUUAAUGAUGCAAAGAGGAGAUCCAAACACUCAAAUGAUGCAGAGGGGAGAAAUAAGCCAUCGCAUGAUACAGAGGGGAGAAAUAUGCCCCCAGGUGAUGCAGAGGGGAGAAAUAAGCCCUCACAUGAUGCAGAGGGGAGAAAUAAGCCCUCAGGUGAUGCAGAGGGGAGAAGUAAGUCCCCAGGUGAUGCAGAGGGGAGAAAUAAGCCCACAGAUGAUGCAGAGGGGAGAAAUAAGCCCCCAUGUGAUGCAAAGGGGAGAGAGAAGCCCUCAGCUGAUGCAAAGAGGAGAAUUAAGCCCUCAGAUAAUGCAGAGGGGAGAAAUAGGCCCUCAGAUGAUGCAGAGAGGUGAAAUAGGCCCUCAGAUGAUGCAGAGAGGUGAAAUAAGCCCUCAGCUGAUGCAGAGAGGAGAAAGAAGCCCUCAGCUGAUGCAGAGAGGAGAAAGAAGCCCUCAGCUGAUGCAAAGGGGAGAAGUAAGCCCUCAGAUUAUACAGGGAGGAGUUACAAGCCCUCAAAUGAUUAUGAAUGGAAAUCCACAAGUGAUGCAGAGAGGAAUGAGCACUCAGAUGAUACAGAGUGUCAGUACAAGCAUGCCAGCGAUACCGACACAAAACAUUCAAAUGAUGCCAACUGGAGAAAUUAACCAAAACUCUCUGUAUUCAGUAGGAAAUGGUUCCCAGAUGAUGCAUGCUAGUAAUACAAGUCCACAUGUAAUAAGCCCUACAGGGAUACUGGCUCAGGCUCAGAUGAUGCAAAAUACUGUGUCUGCAAAUGGAUAUCAAAGGUCACAGAUGCAGUCUGACAAAGUACAAGGUCCAUCAUCAGCUGUGCAGCCAACCAUAACUCCGCAAAGGCUUCAGAGAAUGCAGCUGAUAAGAGCUCAGCACAUCCGGUCCCAGCAACUACAGAGCAGGGGAGCUCAGGCUGGCUUUGAGCAGGGAACCAGAAUGCCCAGUACUCUAAAUCCGCAUGUUGGUAUUGAUCAGAGUGUUCAAGUUGUAAAUUCGUCAGCAGGUCCACAGCAAAUGACUGGUUAUAACACGGGAAUGCCCCAUCAGAAGAGGUCACACUUACAAGCCAGCGCAUACCCUCAACAGAUGGCAGCGCUAGAGCCACAGGUGGAGCUUGGCAUGCAUCCUCCUCAACAAGUGCAGCAGGGGCUUGAGUCUGGGAACAAAGGACCACCUGCUUAUCCAGUUGCAGGUUCACAGACCCAGACUAUGCUGCAACAAACCCACUUCCACCAGACUGGGAUCCAAAAUAAUAUGAAUACCAUGCAGCAAAACAACUUUGUUCAAAGGCCAGCUGUUUAUAUCUCUAAUCAGUCUAUGCAGGUGCCUCAGUCAAAACCAGUACCUUCUUAUAUGAAUGUUUCUCAGCAUAAUCAAAAUAUCCAAGGUCAGGGUCAUAUUAUGACACAGAUACCAUCUGGUAUGGUUUCUAUGUCUCAGGGUCGACAAGUUCAAUGUCAAGUUGAAUACAAUAAUUCUCAGGUACCAGCAAAUAUGACAGUUGUUCCUGGAGGUCAAAUGAUGCAGGAUCACAACACCAGAAACGUAUCAGACAGAGUGCAUAAUUAUCAAUCAAAUAAAGCAGGUCAGUUUCAGAAUCAGAAUUGGCGAGCGCAAGUCCAGAAUUCAGAACAGUUGCAAGCAGUUAAUGUCACUAAAAAAGGACAAAAGUCGGUGACUCAACAGAAGAAUACUGCUCAGUUACAUGCAGUUUCUAGUGUAAAUAUUGGUAAAAAUGUGUUGCUAGGAGAUGGUUCAGGUCAGCAAAACAUUGAUAAGACAAAGGACUUAAUAGUUGUAACAGCGUCUGACACAGAACCUGCAAAUGUGAUUCCUCAUACACAGUCUGCAGUUGCCAUGACAACUAAUCAGAUUAUUACUCAGAGUACCACUCCAGUUGUAGCAACAAAUCAAAUCCAUCAGUCAGCAGAUAACAAUACUCAGGUAUCACCUUCAGGGUCAAAGGGUCAAUCUGAAGGUCAAGUUGAAUCAAAGGUCACAGAAGAGGAAGAAUUACCUCAUCUUCAGCAGGUUCAUGGAGAAUGUGUGAUGUGUGGGAAAUACUCAUUGUAUUUGUGUAGCAACUGUAAGAAAAUCUGGUAUUGCAGCCCGGAAUGUCAGCUUACUCACUGGCAGACGCAUGCUAAUGAAUGUGAAGGUCAAGUAGACUGAAUGGUAGGAAACUCCAUUUUGAAUUAACUGCUCUUCACUGUGGAGGAGGAAAAGAGACACAAGAUGAAAUGGAGUGUUUACAUGAAGUGAAAAGAUUGUAUUUAUUUGUGAUGUUGCUGCUGCUUCUAAGAGUUGAUGAACAGACUGUGAAAAGCAGAUUGGCAGUCGGCAGUGUGAUAUACUGUGUUAGUAACUGUAUGUACUGCUGAAAGAUUUAGUGGUCAUAAUACUUGGUCGAAUGCUGAAUGUUGAAAUGUUUCUAACAUUGACAGUGAGAGUUUUUCCUCUAUAUUUACAAAAAGGAUAGUAAGCUUAGAUUACUAUGAAAGUUUAACUUGUCAAAGCUUUAAGGCAGUUUGGAUGGGUGCAAUUUUCUUCUAAGUCUGACAUUCUCAUUCACAUGUUAGAUAUAUAUUUUUUUAAUGAGUGUUUCUUUUUUUAAUGACUGAAAAAUGUAGGUUAUAUAGGGGGGAAUGUUUGAUAUCUAAAAAUGUCAUUGCAGACUAUUAAUCAUAUUUUAUCCGAACUUGGCCAGAUGUGCCUGACAAGAUUACAUAAGCCCUUUCACUCACUACUACAAAAAAGCUUGACAUGUAAGAUUGACAAAUGUACAUCUGGAACUUGGAUUAUUCAAACUUACUCCUGUUUAACACUUGUGUUUGAUAUUAGAGUCAUUUUAUGUUUACUCAGACUGAAAUUGUUAAAAAACUUGCAUUAUACAUAGAGUCGUACUGGGUUUAUUCAAAUAUGUCACAAGUAAUGUUUAUUCAGGCUGAGAAUAUUCAAGCUCCUGUUUAACAAUGAGUUAAAACUCCUGUUUAAACCAUUAUUAUAAGUAAACUAUAAUUUAAAUGUUUACUGGGACUGGUUUAUAAGAAACCUGGGUUCAAUGGUGUGUGCCUCAACUUGUCCAAAUCAUUUUAUGUUACGUCAUUGUUUCAUUUAUCUCCAUUGUUUAAAGUUGAGUUAAAUUAUUUUUGUAAGUGUAAGCCUGGAGAUCAUGAAUUAUGUUCAUUUACAGGUUAUAAAGGUAAUAGUACUGGUGUAAAUGCAAAAUUUCAUCUUGCCCCGUUAAUUCUCCCUUCAAAACAGCAAAUCUCCCCUCGGAGAGCCUGAAAUCCCUCUUCCUUUUCUGUGUAGCGUAGCUGUCAUUACAACAGUAGAUAGUCACAAUCACUACCAUUUAUCUAUUUUCCAAUAUAUUUGUAUCAUAUUAACAUUAACAGCAUGAAGGUCUCGCUAGAUUAAAAAUUUGUUCAUCAGAUUUUCUGCUUGUAUUUUUUUUUCUGAAACACACAAAAAAAAUAGUUUUAUGCUUGCGCUUGCACCGUUGAAAAAAAAAUCUUGUCAAAAUUUGUAGGUGCACUAUGUUUUUUGCAGGGUGUAAAAGUGUAUGAUUGAUUAUAAUUCAAGGCCUAGUUUAUUUUAAUCAUGAUCAAAAUAUACUUACAUACACACAUUUGGAUUUUCUAAUUUUCAUAUUCCUGCUUAGAAUAAUACUAAUGCAUGUUAAUAUCCAUUUCAGACCCAAACUGUGACAUUGUUUCUUAAAACAACAGAAAAUGAUUUAUUGUCAUAGCCUAUAGUGAAUUACUGUAAAGAUUCAAGUCACAUUAUGGUUUAAGGUUAUGCAAUAUUCUAUAUUACAUGAGCCGCGCCAUGAGAAAACCAACAUAGUGGCUUUGCGACCAGCAUGGAUCCAGACCAGCCUGCGCAUCUGGCCAAUGUUUAACUUUUUCACUUGCUCUUUAUGCACAUGCAGGUCAGAUAUACACCAAAAGGUGCCCAUGUUUUUUCAAUACUUCCUGAAAUACAAAAUGUAUUGUUAGUGUGAAAGAGGAUGUACUUUCUACUAAAAUUUUUUUUUUUAAUUAAACAAGAGCUAAAUAUUUUGUCGCUAUUGGUUUGUUCCAUUUUUCCUCAAAAACAAGUAUAUUUGUUUAAAAAAUUCACUAGCCACCAUUUUGCCAGAAAAAAAUCCAAUGAACAAGUUUUCAAUUUGGUGUGGCCUUACUGUAUUUUGCAAAUAUAUAUCUGUUUGUUUUAUGCAGCAGUAUUACUUGCUCAAAUAUUUAUGAUCAUCAUUCUCAAGUGGCACGCCAUCAGAACAAUGGCAGAUUCUUAUACCCCUGGUGUUGAGGACGCAGGAGAUGGAAUGAUUUUUGGAUAGAAAUAGAGAAAUUGACCUUACGACAGAGAAUGAUCGACAGUUCUAAUUAGCCAAUCAGAUAUCUGAUCUCAGCAUGAUGAAACGCUGCAUUUCAAGUAAAUUAAACCAAUAUCGUCCGGUAUAUCAGCGAGCGAUAUCUAUUUUUCAACUCCAUUUUGUUUUCUUUAUUUGACGGACCAGAGUAGUCCCCCUUGAAAAUCAGUGGGCGUGACCAUGUAGCUUGUGUCAUAAGGUCAAUUAUUACACUUAUUCAUGUUUAGAAACGAGAUAUGAAUAUUUAAAUGUAAUAUAGAUUUAACUUUAAUGUUGUUAAAGUCAUGUAAUUAUUUUAAAAUGUAUUAUUUGUUCUUCAGAAAUCCAUAGAUGAAAUCCAAAAAUUAAUGCAUAAUUUCAUAUAUAUAUUUCUCGCAUAACAGUCAGGAUUUUACCAUGUUUAAGGAUUGGGUAUCAGAUGACUCACAUGCUGUAAUUUAUGAAUGAAUGCAUAAACUCAAACACUACUACAAUAGAAUAGUGGUUCAAAGAAAAGUAUUCGCUUUACUUUAUUUCUUCUUUUGUUUUAAGAAUACAGUACACAAGAAAAAGAAUCUUUCACUGGUUGAAGGUGAAGUUGGAAAUAUCUGAUUUUCGGGUAAUGGUAGAACCUCAUUACUGCCAUCACAGUUACCCUCAAGCCAGAUAUUUCAGUCCGCACCUAAACCAGUGAAAGAUUCUUAUAAUGUAGUACUUUGGGAUAUUUAGCAGAAAUAUCAGACAGUUUCAUCAAAAUCCCACAUAUUUGCCAAUUAACCUUUAGCCAGCUGUCGGCAAGUGGUUCAGCCUUGGCGACCAGUGCAGACCAAGAUCAGCCUGCACAUCUGUGCAGGCUUGAUCAUGGUCUGCACUGUUCGCUAUUCAGUCAAUAAAUUUUCAUUGAACCUUCAAAUAAUAAAUGGUACUGUCCAAAUGGAAUUAUGGACCACUCCAUUUUAGUAGGCUAAAGGUUAACAUAUUUUACAAUAAACCUGUUAUAUCUAGUCUAAUACUGGUAUGCUCAAUUUUUGCCUUAUGUAGACUGUGUCUAAAUCUUGAAAGUAUGCUAUAAAAAUUGUCUUUUCUAUACAUGCCAAUGAUGCUGUACCAACCAUUGUUGAAACUUGAAUGUUAUAGUAUGUAAUACAUGAGUGUGUUAAUAUUUCAAGUUUGUUAUAUGAACUGUACAUUGUUUAAGGGCUGUAAGAUGUUACUUGAUAACUUUAUAAAGUUUUGUAAGUAACUUUCGAUGUUUAUGAUUGUAUCUCACCGACAUUUUAUAUGUUACGAAAUCCAAAUUCUAAAAGUUAUUUUGCUUUUAAAGAUUUUUUUUCCGACUGCACUUAAGUGGUAAAUUUCUUUUUGUUUUUCAUGUUAAAUACCACAAUAUUCAGUUUUAAUAGCUUAUGAAGGAGAGAGGUGGUAAGGUGGUUAAGAUGUUGGCAACUCGAGUCAGGGGUUAUGGGUUUGAACCCUACUAUGGUCCUCACCACACCUGCACUGGUUUUUGAUUUCAGAAUGGUUCAGAUAAGCUUGAAGCUUUCAUCAAAAUCGGGCUAACAAUAAUAAUAAUAAUAAUAAUAAAUUCGCUAUUUUCAGAUGGUAACAUGUACAGACAUGCAAAUAAAACAUUAACAGCCUCUUAGUUCAAACAUGGCCUUCUAUAACAUAAAAAAAUGUACAAAUGUAAAAUAUAUUAGAAUAAAAAAAAUGGCUUUGAAAUCCAUCAUUUAUGGUCCACUGCUUCAAACAAAAAUUUAAAAGAUAUUAUGAUAUAUAUUAGAAAUUUUUGUGAAAUUUUAAAGUAUUUCAUGCUGUAUAAAUGUAAAACUAAAACUAAUACCAUUGGAGGGUGUAAUUUUUAUGCUCCCGAAGGGAGGCAUAUAGUUUUUGAACCGUCUGUUGGUCUGUCAGUCUGUCCACAAUUUUCGUGUCUGGUCCAUAACUUUGUCAUAAAUGUAUGGAUUUUCAAAUAACUUGGCAUGAAUGUGUACCACAGUAAGACGACAUGUCGCGCGCAAGACCCAGGUCCGUAGCUCAAAGGUCAAGGUCACACUUAGACGUUAAAGGUCAUUUUUCAUGAUAGUGCAUUCGUGUCCAGUCCAUAUCUUUGUCAUCCAUGGAUGGAUUUUCAAAUGACUUGGCAUGAAUGUGUACCACAGUAAGAUGACAUGUCGCGCGCAAGACCCAGGUCCGUAGCUCAAAGGUCAAGGUCACACUUGGAUGUUAAAGGUCAUUUUUCAUGAUAGUGCAUUCAUGUCCGGUCCAUAUCUGUGUCAUCCAUGGAUGGAUUUUCAAAUAACUUGGCAUGAAUGUGUACCACAGUAAGACGACGUGUCGCGCGCAAGACCCAGGUCCGUAGCUCAAAGGUCAAGGUCACACUUAGACGUUGAUAGUCAUAUUUAAUGAUAGUGCAUUGAUGGGCGUGUCCGGUCCAUAUCUUUGUCAUUCAUGCAUGGAUUUUAAAAUUAUUGGGCAUGAAUGUGUACCACAGUAAGACGACUUGUUGCGCGCAAGACCCAGGUCGGUAGGUCAAAGGUCCUAAACUCUAACAUCGGCCAUAACUAUUCAUUCAAAGUGCCAUCGGGGGCAUAUGUCAUCCUAUGGAAACAGCUCUUGUUUUCUCUCAAUUUUUUGGAGUUAAGAAUUUAUAACACUUCGAUCAAGGUAAAAUGAAUGGGGAUUUUAUCUGUUCAGGGAAUUUAUUUUUUAGCUCAACUAUACAAAGUAUAAUAAGGAUAUCCUACUUGCCCCUUCUCAGGAGUGAGUGUCUGCACCUUGGUUAAAUCUUUGAUGUACUUUUACUUAAUCUCUGUUACUAUCUGAUGCAGUUGCUUCAAACUUAAUAAAGUUUUUCCUCAUCAUCACCCACAUCGUAUGACAAGGGCCAUCACUCUAUUACCAGUAUUUCAUGCAUUAUGCCCCUCUUCCUACUAAGAAUAUCCGGUUAAUUUGUUUCGAUGCCUUAGUUAUUAGUAAAUGGAUUUGAUUCAGACUUGAAAAUAAUUGUUCCCUAUCAUCACCCUCAUCAUAUGACACAAAGACAAUACUUCUGCCAGAAAUAUUCCAUGAGUUAUAUCCGUUUUAUACUUAAAAAUUUUGAUGCACUUUGGCUUUAUCUUGAUUAUUACAAAACGGAUUGGACUAUAACUUCAACUGUUGUCCAACAUUAUCAUCCACAUCUGGGAGUAUUAUUCACUUCAGUGAUAGCUCUAGUUUCAUCAGAUAUGCCCAAUUUGGCAAUUAUGCAUCAAAAUAGUCGAGCACAUUGUCUCCUGUGGUAGCUCUUGCUUACUUAUGUGAAACUUGAUAUUAAACAAAUUUGGUAUGAAGUACCUUUGUGUGUGACAGGUGAUUUUGCUGUAAAUGACUGCUUCAUUAAAACAUUUUAAUACUGUAAAAGGUAAUUUGGAUAGAGGCGCUCACCCUAUUAUCGGAAAUGGGAUGUUAGAUGAGUGUUUAAUGUGGCAGCCUGAAGGCACUUGCCCGCAUGUGGGAAAGGAGAUAUUAUCCCAUGGUAUAAUGUUGCAUUUGACUUGAAGUUUAAACGAUUCCUGCAAUACUGAAUGAAAUUCAGCCAUAUUUGACCUGGGUGGGGAUUCAGUACUAUAUUGAUAAUUGCUCUGCUGCAUCCUCCAUCAAAAUGGGCAAGACGGUAUGACCCCUUUAGGUGUCCAUCGGUGUUUGAAAUUUUCUUGAAAAAGAAUGUUGGAAGCAAUUUACAUUCCAUAUAGUAUUUAAAUGAACAGGUGUUUAAUGACAUUCCAUUAAAUGUACAUGUUUAAUACCUUUUGUUAAUUUCAUUUAGUACUGCUAGGAUUUUCUAUUGCUGCUAAAUAAUUUAGAUAUUAGUCAAUUUUGUAUUUAAUUACACUGUUACUGUUAUUUUAAGUGUUAAAUACUCACUGGAAGGCAUUACAAACGGGCAUAAUAGUUAAUUUCAAGUGUUCUUGUAUUCAGUAUGAAACUAACACAAUUGUAGAUAGCUAUCACUAUAAAUAGAAUAGGUUUGCAAUGAGUUUACUUGAUGUAAUCUUUCCAUAUACUUUGUCACAAACUGUUCUCCAGUAAAGACAUUUUGAUUACAUACAUGUAAAUUUAUAUGUUAUAUUGUAAGAUUUGCAUUACCAGUAAUACAAAAAAGCACUGUCUGAAAUAUUUAGAAAUUACUGAAAAAUAAAUCUAGUUGCUGCAAUAUUUUUUUUUCUUAACUAGUGUGAAUCCACACACCACACUUCAGCAAAACUUGAAAAUUUUAAUAAGGCACGUCAGCAAAUAUGUUCUUGCUAUUAAUUGUUCAGAAAUGUCAGUAAUCAAGUUGUUAUUUACCACAAAAUGUGUAAGCUUACAUUUAUUCAGUUUGGAUGUACAUACAUUAACCAAUUGUUCUACAUCAGAAUUAGAAAUCAAAAUUUUUGUAUUUUAACAUGUUCAAAAGAUACUCCUCUAAAUUCGAUUAUGUUGGGAGUAUGAAACAACUAAAAUACCUUCAAAUUGGGUUUUCACAAGGAUCAAGUAUAUCAACAAGGGAGAUAACCAUUUAACAACUCAACACAUAGGUAUCAUUCUUGUACAUAGGUAUCAUUCUUGUACAUGGCAUCACCAGCAUACAUGAUGUGUGAUACAAUAUUUUUAGCUCACCUGUCACAAAGUGACUAGGUGAGCUUUUGUGAUCGCGCAGUGUCCGUCGUCCGUGUGUGCGUGCGUCCGUAAACUUUUGCUUGUGACCACUCUAGAGGUCACAUUUUUCAUGGGAUCUUUAUGAAAGUUGGUCAGAAUGUUCACCUUGAUGAUAUCUAGGUCAAGUUCGAAACUAGGUCAUGUGCCAUCAAAAACUAGGUCAGUAGGUCUAAAAAUAGACAAAAACUAGGUCAGUAGGUCAAAUAAUAGAAAAACCUUGUGACCUCUCUAAAGGCCAUAUUUUUCAUGGGAUCUGUAUGAAAGUUGGUCUGAAUGUUCAUCUUGAUGAUAUCUAGGUCAAGUUCGAAACUGGGUCACGUGCGGUCAAAAACUAGGUCAGUAGGUCUAAAAGUAGAAAAACCUUGUGACCUUUCUGGAGGCCAUAUAUUUCACAAGAUCUUCAUGAAAAUUGGUCAGAACGUUCACCUUGAUGAUAUCUAGGUCAAGUUCGAAACUGGGUCACAUGCCAUCAAAAACUAGGUCAGUAGGUCAAAUAAUAGAAAAACCUUGUGACCUCUCUGAAGGCCAUAUUUUUCAUGGGAUCUGUAUGAAAGUUGGUCUGAAUGUUCAUCUUGAUGAUAUCUAGAUCAAGUUCGAAAAAUGGGUCACAUGCGGUCAAAAACUAGGUCAGUAGGUCUAAAAAUAGAAAAACCUUGUGACCUCUCUAGAGGCCAUACUUGUGAAUGGAUCUCCAUAAAAAUUGGUCAGAAUGUUCAUCUUGGUGAUAUCUAGGUCAAGUUCGAAAGUGGGUCACGUGCCAUCAAAAAGUAGGACAGUAGGUCAAAUAAUGAAAAAACGUUGUGACCUCUCUAGAGGCCAUAUUUUUCAUGGGAUCUGUAUGAAAGUUGGUCUGAAUGUUUAUCUUGAUGAUAUCUAGGUCAGGUUUGAAACUGGGUCAACUGCGAUCAAAAACUAGGUCAGUAGGUCUUGAAAUAGAAAAACCUUGUGACCUCUCUAGAGGCCAUACCCUUGAAUGGAUCUUCAUGAAAAUUAGUCAGAACGUUCACCUUGAUGAUAUCUAGGUCAAGUUUGAAACUGGGUCACAUGCCUUAAAAAACUAGGUCAAUAGGUCAAAUAAUAGAAAAACCUUGUGACCUCUCUAGAGACCAUAUUUUUCAGUGGAUCUUCAUGAAAAUUGGUCAGAAUUUUUAUCUUGAUAAUAUCUAGGUCAAGUUCAAAACUGGGUCACAUGAGCUCAAAAACUAGGUCACUAUGUCAAAUAAUAGAAAAAACGACGUCAUACUCAAAACUGGAUCAUGUGGGAAGAGGUGAGCGAUUCAGGACCAUCAUGGUCCUCUUGUUUAACU